AAUAGGAGGAUGACAAAUCAAAUUUUUACUCUUUCAAUUUUUUUUCCUGAAAUAAUUCAAAUCCAACUGAAAAUGCUAAAAAUCAGGAGUAAAAAUCUGAUUUGUUAUUCUCCUAUU
rfam:Gossypium raimondii Chr11_contig_616, whole genome shotgun sequence.